UACGAAGGGGGCUAGCGUUGCUCGGAAUCACUGGGCGUAAAGCGCGCGUAGGCGGAUUGCUAAGUCAGGGGUGAAAUCCUGGAGCUCAACUCCAGAACUGCCUUUGAUACUGGCGAUCUUGAGUCCGGGAGAGGUGAGUGGAACUGCGAGUGUAGAGGUGAAAUUCGUAGAUAUUCGCAAGAACACCAGUGGCGAAGGCGGCUCACUGGCCCGGUACUGACGCUGAGGUGCGAAAGCGUGGGGAGCAAACAGG
rnacentral:rRNA from 1 species